CGGUCUUCCUAGGUUUCUGUGCACUACCUCUUCUGGAGAGGAUACACUACCCACUGGCCUACUAUUAGGGUCUUGAAGGAUUUUUUACUGGAUCCAAGGCCUAAUGUUCUUUUCAUGUGAAAAAAAUCGUGGUAUCCAGCGUGUAAAAUUGAGAAACCACGCUUUGCAUACGAGCUGUACAAGAGACUCAUUUUCUGUGGCAAUAAAGCGGAACCGCCCCUAAGAAAGAAAAGCUUGUCCAAAUAAAAAAGUAUCGGCACAAAUAUUACUUGAGUCUGUGUGUCAAGGCAAUCCCACUUCGUGAAGGAGUUUCGGAUGCAAGAUUUAGGGCAAAAGUAUGGUCGGCUUUCCCGGUACUGGUAUAAACAGAGUAGUCAACGGGUCUGUGGACAACAGAGAAGCAAUUUUGCGAUCUGUUUUUUUCUGCAGCCCCUGCAGAGUCUUGGAAACGCAGAAGCCUUCUCAUGGAGUGAAUUUGUAAAGCCACGAAGGCCGAGGAAGAUCCAGAAUAAGGGAGAGAACUCUGUUUGUGUCUUGUAGCUUUAAAGUCAAAACAGAGGCCAGACGACCCCUGAAAGGGAAACGGCUCCGAGUCAACGACGAGGGACACCUUCUCAAACUGGAUCGGGUGUUUCUGCAAGCAUCGUUCGCUCUUUUCAUUCCCUGUCCGUCGGCAUUGCUCGCAUGCCCUAGCUGAAAAGACUACAGACGAAUGCUGUGAACUGUGUCGCCUCGGAAACGAGUCUAAAAAUGUAUUUCCCCAGGUAUGUAAAUGCUAGUCCCAAACUUCAAGUCAUUGACGCAUAGAAGAUCCAAUUUUCUGAACAAGUCCACGCUGCGGAGUAACUUCUCUGCCUGGCACCACCGUGAACACCCGUUUCCGCUUUCGUUUCAUCCAUCAAAAGGUGUUUCAACAAGUAAAGAUCCCUGGGAUUCUGACCCGAGACUCCACCCGCAGUUUCACUCUCAUCAGAGAGAGGCAUUCGUUUGACUGCAAUGACGAAUUUUGAGUGUCUUCCGAGAUGCAUUCCAUCUGCAAUCAUGAGUACAAGGCGGUUUUC
rnacentral:lncRNA from 1 species